UACGUAGGGGGCAAGCGUUGUCCGGAUUUAUUGGGCGUAAAGAGCUCGUAGGCGGUUCGGCAAGUCGACGGUGAAAUCUCCACGCUCAACGUGGAGGGGUCCGUCGAGACUGCUGUGACUUGAGUCCGGUAGGGGAGUGUGGAAUUCCCGGUGUAGCGGUGAAAUGCGCAGAGAUCGGGAGGAACACCCGUAGCGAAGGCGGCACUCUGGGCCGGUACUGACGCUGAGGCGCGAUAGCGUGGGGAGCAAACGGG
rnacentral:rRNA from 1 species